AAAGUACUCCCUCCGUCCCAAAAUUCUUGUCUUAGAUUUGUCUAGAUACGGAUGUAUCAAGUCACAUUUUAGUAUUAGAUACAUCCGUAUCUAGAUACAUCCGUAUCUAGACAAAUCUAAGACAAGAAAUCUGGGACAGAGGGAGUAGUUG
rfam:Triticum aestivum genome assembly, contig: Triticum_aestivum_CS42_TGACv1_scaffold_194381_3AL